rnacentral:ncRNA from 1 species
AUGUACAGAAAGGAUAAGCGCUGAAAGCAUCUAAGCGCGAAACCUUCCUUAAGAUGAAUUACUUUUAAGUGCCGUCGAAGACUACGACGUUGAUAGGCUACAGGUGUAAAGGCAGUAAUGUCAUAGCCGAGUAGUACUAAUUGCACGUACGCUUUAACUUU